GCAAUCCUUCUCCCCCACCACUCCAAGGCAUGGAUUUCUCAUACCUAAUUCUAAUUAUGGGUGCCAGACUGGGAGCAUCUGUUGAAAAUAUUGGAGCCUAAGGGUCAUCACUGGGAGGGAAAGCAUGGAAUAGAACACUGGAUCUCCAAGUGUGGUUCCCAGAUGAGCAACGUCAGCAUCACCCAGUGCACGAGAAGAUUCUUCAUAGUGUUCAGGCAACAUCUAUUCCUGUUCGGGUCCAGGAAGCAUUUCGUCAUGCUCUUUCUUGUCAAAUGUGUCAUUCCUGUCUAAUUUCAUAUCUCC
rnacentral:lncRNA from 1 species